GGGCCCGCACAAGCGGUGGAGCAUGUGGUUUAAUUCGAUGAUACGCGAGGAACCUUACCAGGACUUAAAUGUAAGUUGCAUGAUUCAGAAAUGAAUCUUUCUUCGGACUACUUACAAGGUGCUGCAUGGUUGUCGUCAGCUCGUGCCGUGAGGUGUCAGGUUAAGUCCUAUAACGAGCGCAACCCCUAUCGUUAGUUGCCAUCAAGUAAAGUUGGGAACUCUAGCGAAACUGCCGGUGCAAACCGAGAGGAAGGUGGGGAUGACGUCAAAUCAUCACGGCCCUUACGUUCUGGGCUACACACGUGCUACAAUGGUCGGUACAGAAAGCAGCCACUAUGCGAAUAGGAGCUAAUCUUUAAAACCGAUCUAAGUUCGGAUUGUAGGCUGCAACUCGCCUGCAUGAAGGUGGAAUCGCUAGUAA
rnacentral:rRNA from 1 species